rnacentral:rRNA from 1 species
GCCGCGUGCAGGAUGACGNCCCUAUGGGUUGUAAACUGCUUUUAUAUAGGAANAAAACACUCUUGCGAGAGAAACUGACGGUACUAUAUGAAUAAGGACCGGCUAACUCCGUGCCAGCNGCCGCGGUAAU